rnacentral:rRNA from 1 species
ACGGGGAGCAGCAGGCGCGAAAACUCCGCAAUGCACGGGAGUGUGACGGGGCUAACCCGAGUGCCGUCCGUAUUGGAUGGCUUUUCUCUAGUGUAAUGAGCUGGAGGUAAUAAAGGGAGGGCAAGAUUGGUGUCAGCCGCCGCGGUAACACCAACUCCCUGAGUGGUGGGGACGGUUAUUGGGCCUAAAGUAUCCGUAGCUGGCUGGGCAAGUUCUCUGUUAAAUUCAGCGGUUUAACCGUUGGGCUGCAGGGGAUACUGUCUGGCUGGGAGGCGGGAGAGGUCGACGGUAUUUCCGGGGUAGGGGUGAAAUCCUAUAAUCCCGGAAGGACCAUCAGUGGCGAAGGCUGUCGGCUGGAACGCGCUCGACGGUGAGGGAUGAAAGCUGGGGGAGCGAACCGGAUUAGAUACCCGGGUAGUCCCAGCUGUAAACUUUGCAGGCUAGCUGUU